ensembl:snRNA U6 U6 spliceosomal RNA
GUGUUCGUGUCAGCAGCACAUAUGGUAAAAUUGGAAUGAUACAGAGAAGAUGAGCGCGGCCUCUGUGCAAGGAUGGCACGCAAAUUUGGGAAGCGUUGCAUUACAAA